rnacentral:rRNA from 1 species
UACGAAGGGGGCUAGCGUUGCUCGGAAUCACUGGGCGUAAAGCGCACGUAGGCGGCUUUGUAAGUUAGAGGUGAAAGCCCGGGGCUCAACUCCGGAAUUGCCUUUAAGACUGCAUCGCUUGAAUCCGGGAGAGGUGAGUGGAAUUCCGAGUGUAGAGGUGAAAUUCGUAGAUAUUCGGAAGAACACCAGUGGCGAAGGCGGCUCACUGGACCGGUAUUGACGCUGAGGUGCGAAAGCGUGGGGAGCAAACAGG